GGCGGGUCUCCCUGCAUGAUAAUUUGAAGCAACGGGUCAGGUGCGGAAGCAAGCAGCCCACUUUGAUAAGUCAGUGCCAGGGGUUAGGCUCGCCCCC
rnacentral:SRP_RNA from 1 species